GUGGGGAAUUUUGGACAAUGGGCGCAAGCCUGAUCCAGCAAUGCCGCGUGCAGGAAGAAGGCCUUCGGGUUGUAAACUGCUUUUGUACGGAACGAAACGGUCCUGGUUAAUACCUGGGGCUAAUGACGGUACCGUAAGAAUAAGCACCGGCUAACUACGUGCCAGCAGCCGCGGUAAUACGUAGGGUGCGAGCGUUAAUCGGAAUUACUGGGCGUAAAGCGUGCGCAGGCGGUGCUGUAAGACAGGCGUGAAAUCCCCGGGCUCAACCUGGGAAUUGCGCUUGUGACUGCAGUGCUGGAGUACGGCAGAGGGGGAUGGAAUUCCGCGUGUAGCAGUGAAAUGCGUAGAUAUGCGGAGGAACACCGAUGGCGAAGGCAGUCCCCUGGGCCUGUACUGACGCUCAUACCCGAAAGCGUGGGGAGCAAACAGGAUUAGAUACCCGAGUAGUCC
rnacentral:rRNA from 1 species